AUAAACUUGCACAAUUUAUUUUAAAACUCAACUUUUUAUUAGAACAAAUUAUGCAACAAGAACUUAAUUUACAAACGGGCCCUUAGUUAUCUUUUUAUACACCAGAAUCAUUCAAAGACCACAAUUCCAGAAUUUAUACAUAGACCUUAGCAUUAGGCACUUGGACAAACUCACCCUUGGCGGGGAAUAACUAGAGUUUAAAAACAAAGCUUCUUCAAUCCAAUCCAUUCAAACAAAGUGAAUGAUAACAGAACUUUGAAGAUUAUUUUACAUACGAGGCGAAGCUGAAGAUGUAUUUACCACAGUCCUCGAAAAUAUGACCCAGAAAUUGGAAAAGCAAAGUUAUGAACAAUCUCAGACAAACAAGCUCUUAUUAGAAAAGAGGCAAUAGAAGUUCUUCUUCACAUUCAUAGAACAAGAUUGAUUUCUCACUUGAGAUGUUUAGCAAACCAGUCCAGCAUGUCCUGAUGGGCUUCCUCAGCAGCCUUCACAGCUUCUGCAUCUUCGAUGUUGUAUCUCACACUCCAACCGUGUGAGACUUUAGGAAAUAUUUUAACAUAACUAUCAACCUGCUAAAAAUAAAAAUAACAAUUCAGAAGCCAUAUUAAUCAUUCUCAAUAAGAAACAGUUAUGGGUCCAGCUUUAAGGUCUGAGUUAUGACGUAGACAAGAGGAUGGUGACGAUGAAUGUUUUUCAGUAGCCAAAAACAAGACACAAAGCACAAUGUGCUUGGUAAAAAUGAAAUUUAAACAGAGCUUAGCUACAGAUAGAUUUCUCAAAUUCAACUUGUCUGAACCCAUCAGAACCAAAAAAUGGAAACUGAUAAUGAAAGAACACGUCAUCUUUGAAUUAAAAAUAAAAUCACAUAGUAACCAGAAAAUAUUAUCAUCAUCAGAACAUAAAGGUAAUCUAAAAUGAUGGUAGAUAACCAGCAAAAAGAGAAAAAAAUAUCUGACCCCAGGUUUAGCAGUUAAGACUUGUUCAAACUGUUUCAGAAGCUCUGGAGGAGACAUUUUGUCAAUCUCAGCUCCAAGUAUAGCAAUUGGAAUAUCAACACCUAAAAGUUAGACCAAUAAUUGACUGUUAGAAUAUGAACAUCUUAGUCAAUAGUCACUGCUUAAGAAAUAUGCUUAAAAAUGAGAACGGAAUGAAUUGGUAUGGAACAAACUCCAAUAAAAUAGAACUUAUGCACAAUCAAUUAAAUCAACAGAAGUUAAGUACACUGUUGUAAUAAAAGACAACAGGCAAGGAGAUUUUUUCAACACAAAAAUAAAAUAUAGAUACCCCUGUGUAGCAAAUUAUUGACCUUCAGAAAAAUAGAUUGCAAGCACAGUCCAUAAAAAACACUAUUAUGGUUUGCUCAUCUUUCAAACAAACGUACUUCUAGGACUCAGAAACCUUCAACAUCAUUUAUAAAGUGAAGUGCUCAAUAUUUAGGCUCAGCAUAAGAUGUUUACGGUUUACCAAAUCUAUUUCUCUUUUAUUCAAUCAAAUGUUCAAAAUGUAAUGAUUAUGAUACAGACAUACCAGAAGUAUGUAGAAACAGUAAAAUACACUGCAAGUCAGCAUAAAGACAAAUAUGAUUAUUUAGGAAGUGACUGAGGACUGUAGUUAUAUUCCGAACAUGCCUAAUUGCCUAUAUCAAUGGUAUGACAAGAAGCUGCAACAUAAUUUUGGUAGUCAUUCUUAGAAGAUACAGUGAAGUUUUCAAUAACUAAAAUAUGCAGACAGAAGAAAUUUAAAUAUUGAGAAUUCAUACCAUUGAUGUCAUCCAGAGAGACAAAUGAUGGGUGUAAUUGCACAGCAGCUUGGAUUAGUCUGGAUUUCGCAAGUUCAACCACAACCUUAGCUGAAGGAAAGAAGAGAAAGACUACACUCUGUGAGUUUGAUUGCUUAGUUGUGUUCAUAAUUUCAAACCAUACCAGAAACUACACCUAAGUGAAGCUGAAAGUGCUAUAUAGUAUAUCAAUAUGCAAACAAGAGGAGGGGAAAAUAUAAGCACUCCGAAUGAGUGGAAUGAGAGGUACUUACCUCCCCAACAAAAUCCAGCAGCCCCAAUAGCCGACACACCUUUACUUUUUAAAGCUUCAACUAUGGGUUUGGCAACUUCAAAUCCUUUGUCCUAUUAUUGAUAUGAAAGAAUCAGGGAAUUAUGAAUUACAAAUUACAACACACAAAAAAACCAUUUUUCACUAGAUGAGAAUGACAAUAAAAGUUUACAAAUCAAUGUACAAUUUCUAUACAUUUUAUGCGAGAUAAUCCAUAGUAUUUGAUCCACUCAUCCAAACAUAUAUACUGAUAUACAGGUGGCCCACUAACAUUCAAACAGCUUGUAAUUGUAAAAACCAAUUAUUAUAAAUAAGAACUUACCGUUCCAUGAUCUUUUAACCAAACAGGUAAAGGCCUGUUAGCAUUCUCAGGAUUAUAUGGGUCACCAUAGAAGAAGUCAGGAACAACCACAUAAUAUCCAGCAGCUGCAACCUUGUCUGCAAGGUUCCUUAACAACAGAGGACAAACAGUAUCACUGCCCAGAGAUACACUACAUUUGGCACCAUAGAGAGAGAGAGAGAUGGAGAAAGAGAGAAUUGGAAAAGAGAGUUAAACAGCCAGAUUCCAUUAGUGGAAUAAUUCACCAGAACUUGAUAAAAUUUGAGAGUAAAAGGUAGACUUCCCAAGAAAGAAGAUGAUUAUAUCAUAAUUCAUAAUUUACAGUUAACAUGUUGAUAUAGAUAUAUAUUUGAUUAAUUCCCUACGAAAAUUGAAAUCUAUCAUUCACUGUUACCUAAAGAUUAUGAGCCAUUACUUUAAAAUGGAAAAGUAGGAUUUUUUUGCUAAUUGUGACGCCGCUAUUGCCACUAUAGCGCGCUAUUCGCCUCCAAAUAGCGGCUGAAAUAGUGGAUUUUUUACUCACCAUGAUGGUCCGCGAUUAAUUGGAAAUUGGACAGUAUGAAACCAAGAUAACUUGCUCUAACAUAUAAAGUAAAAAAAUUAGCUAACUUAGAAAUAGACAAUAGGCAUGAGACUUGAGUAUAAGAUCAUACCUUAAAUUCGGCGCUUCAUAUCCUACAAAACAAAUCAAGCAUGUGAAGUUAAAAGAUGAUAUUAUUGGCUACAGGCGAUAAUAACCUUUAAAAAAAUAUAUUGAUACAGCCAACAACAACAAGCAAGCCUUUUCCCACUAGAUGGAGUUGGAAAUGAAACCAGAGUCUCUUCAUAGAAUGCAAAAGUGAAGAUGGGGUGUUUGAAAGAUACCAUAAAUGUCAGAGACAAGUAGAAUGGCAAGCUUAGAGUGAGGGGAGCCAGUGAGAUAGGAAUCAAGACCAGCAAAUUUCUCAACAUGGCCUGCACCUGCAGUGGGGUUAAUGGUUGGUGGGUUUGAGCAACAUUGUGGCCCUGACAUUGCUCUUCUCUUCUCUGCAAUUCACUUCACAGCUCUGCUCUUGGGGAUCAAAUUUUGGAACAGAGAGAGAGAGAGAGAUGACGUGAAGAAAUGGGAGAUUCCACUUUGCUAUUGCUAUGCACUCAUAUCAUUGUGGUCCAUAUAUGGACAACUGCAGGAUGUGGCAACCAUACAAAUUUGAUUUAGGCUUUUUUAUUAAAUUUUACAGUACCAUUGUUUUUUUUUUUUUUGAUAAGCUUACAGUACCAUUGUAAAUAAAUCAAACAAAUAUUGUUUUUUUAAUCAACAAACAAAAAUAAUAGCUUCGUGGCAAGGGACAUCACUACCCUAUUCCGAACCAGAUUAGUCACGUGAGUUCUUUUUUUUUUCCGUAGAGACUGAUGACCAAAAGAUAAAAAAAAAGACUUUAAUUAUUGUGCACCGUUAAUAUUUAAUUCUACAUUUUUAUGGAGACGUCCAAUAACUGAAUGACACAUAUUUUCAUAAUUGAAUGUUUAUGUUAAAAAUGUUAAGAUAACCAUUAUUUUUUUUAAUCUAAAAACCCUCUAUAUCUAGAAGAAUAGAACUUAUAUACAUUCCCACACCACUUAAAUCAAAAGGGGUUGAAGAAAAUCUCACAAAUUUAUGAGAAGUUUUUUUUUUUUUGAAAUGAGAAGUUGAUUUUUUUGGUUACAGGAGGAAAAGUAACUAAAAGACAGAAAAACUAGCUAAUUGCAUCUAGAUACAAACUAUCAUAAACAAAAGACGGUGGUCUCGCCCAAACUUGGAUCGGUGUAUCACUCUUCCCCGCCUCACGAGCUAAACAAUCAGCAGUAUUGUUCUUCUCCCGCUGGAAAUGCAAGACACUGACGCUCUGAAACCUGGCAUCAUGCUCCUUGAUUUUACUAAAUGUAAAUUUAUUCCUUGUAAAAAAAAACUAAAUUAAAUUAUGUAUCUUUAUCCCAUCAUGUUCAAGGGUAAAAAUUCUAUCAUGUUCACCAAAAGUUGGGCCUUUUUUACCGUCUUUUUUAACCCUUUUUAUCUUACAAAAACUAAAAUAUGAGAUUAAUGCUGAAAAUAUCUAUAGACUAACCAAAUUAACAGAUUAAAUCAAUUAUGACACACACAUACUACACAUUGCUAAUUGUGAUCUUUUAAAAAAAAAUCCCUAAUUGUGUCUCACACACGUAGAGAGAAAGUUAUAAGUUUCUCUGCUGUGAACUCUUAACUCACCAUAGCAAAAAGUUAGGCCCGUUAGAGUUUAACUUGCCUAGCAAGUUACAAGCGCAAACGUGAACCUGUGAGUGAGUCUCAGUGCAUGUUGGUUUGAGGUUAGAACCCAGGCAAAUUUGAUUGGUUUCACUUAGUGUAAGACACCAAUGGAAUGGAGAAGCUAGAAUUUGGCGCGCUAUUUUGACAAGUCAGUGAUAUGUAAAUUUGAAAUUUUAUCUAAUAUGGGUUAAUGCUGCUGCGCAACGCAGAGUUCAGCACCUCGAUCUCAACCUUUAUAGUAAUUCACCGAUCAACUUGUCGUCCAUCUUCAGUUGCAGGACUCUUGUGGUUCUCAGGUUGCAGUGGUUAGAUUUGAAUCAGUUUUCCUCUGUUGUUGAUUUGCCAUUCCUUAAAGUCCUGCAUCUGCAAGAUUUGUAUUUCUCAGAACGCGAAUAUCUCGCCGAGCUUCUUGAGGAUUUGAAGGUGAGUGGAUUGAGUUUUGGUAAUUAUGUCACUGACAGAGAGUUUAAAACGUUACCCAAGUUGGUCAGAGCAGAUAUUUCAGUCAUACAUACAUGUUUUUUGCUCAUGGUGGUCAACAAUGUCGAGUUUUUGCACUUAGAUGAGGUAAUGUGAUUAAUUUAUCCAUCAUUCUUGUUCAUUCCUAUUGACAAUGAUAUAUUUGAUUUCUUGAAAUUGUAAUCAAUGAUGCAGAUUUAUUUUAGACUCUAUGAGACUCAAUGGAUGUACAGCAACACUCUAACACAUGUUGAGCUUGUCUAUAGAUACUAUAAUCCUGAUUGGUCUCAGGUAGCGGAAUUGCUCAGUCAUUGCCCCAAGCUUCAAGUUCUUGUCAUAAACCUGGUUUUGCUUAAAAGAUUAGGAUGAUUUCUAUUUUUUCAUCAUUUCUACACAUGUUUUCAUUUAUUUAUUUUGUGUUUAUUGUUGGCAGCCUUCGGAUCCUCCUAGCUCUGUCUUUGAAGAAUUGGAAAAAAUAGAAUUUUGGCAAUCUCCACCAUCGGUUCCUGAAUGCAUUCUAUUACACCUUAAAAGAUGCUAUCUAAAUGGGUAUAGAGGCACCAAAGCUGAGUUUAGGUUUGCAAAAUAUAUUAUACAGAAUUCAAGAUUUUUAAAGAAGAUGACGAUAACCAGCAACAUUGCUGAAAUUCGAAAGUUUAAGAUGUUAAAAAAACUAUCCUCAUGCUCAAGGCACUCCGCGAAUUGUAGACUUUCCAUUGAAUGAUAACAAACAAGAUUUGGUACUUGCAUUCUGCAACUUGUAGACUUUCGUUUCAUUUCUUUGUUUUAACUAGUACACAUGUAUUUGGUACAUCAUGAUUAGAUGCUAUUACUUCACUUUGUUGGCUGAGAAAUUAGAGGGAAAUACCAACAACAGUCAACUCAACAAAUAAUACAUAAUUGUGAUUUUAACUUGUAAGUUCAUAUGUUAAUUCAUCUAAUCAGUUCAAAAUAUAUAACCAAUAAGUAUGCAAAGAAAUAAUAAACAAAUGGACAGGCUGAUAAUAAGGGAACUUACCACCCCAACAAAAAGAGGCAGCCCCUAUGGCCAAAACACCUUUAUCUUUUAAAGCUUCAAUCACUGGUUUUGCAUCUUCAAAAGCUUUGUUCUAUCAGCAUAACAUUACAGUAUAAGAGCAUGAUGAAUUAUGAUUUAAAAUAAGGAACAAUUCUUUUACAUUUGAUUGGUGAAAACCACACUAAUUUUUCAUCAAAUACCUUAAAUGUCAUAAAAGGUAGAUAACUAAAAUUAACAGCAAUGUGUGGAGAGAAAUCAACUGUUAAUUACAGUGAAAAUGACACAUAAUUUAGAGAUCUAAAUCCAAACCAUAAAUGCUUAAAUGUCAGCAUUACAAAUUUCAGCUAGGAUACAAAUUUUCAGCUUACAAGUACAGAUAAACCCUGAAGUAAAAGAACUCACUGGUUCAUGAUCUUUUAACCAAACAGGUAGAAGCCUGGUAGCAUCCUCUGAGGAAAAUGGAUCUCCGUGUAAAAAAUCAGGAACCACUACAUAGUACCAUGUAGCUGCAACCUUGUCUGCAAGUUUUCUUAACAACAGAGAACAUAAAUUUCCAUUGGAAUACUUCAGAACUCACAACUAAUAUAUAAUAAGUACAAAUGGAUCAUUGUACAAAAUAGGAAUCUUUAUACAAAUGUGUACUGUUUAACACAUACUAAUCAGCAAGAUAAAUAAGUACAAAUGCAUUCUCUUUGAAGAUUUAAAACUUAAUCACCAAUAACAUGACAUUCAGGAUAGAUUGGGGCAGAAGACCAUUUUAAUUGGAAUCAGACUAGUUGAAUAACAUGACAUUCACCAAUAACAUGCAUUCUCUCAGUCAUGUCUUCCAUUGCAGCAGAUAUCACCAUUUUAAUUGGAUUCAGACUAGUUGAAUAAAAUAUUGAGCAGAAGACCAGCUUGAUGCAGAAAAGACGAUUUACAUUUGCAGAUGACCAAAUAAAAGGGGAAAAAUUGAACACGGAAAACAAACACUAAAAUUGUCCAUACCUUAGAAGUGGAGCUUCAUAUCCUACAAGGCAAUGGAACGUGUGAAGUUAAAAAUGUGAUGCCGGUUUUGAAUCAAUAACUUUAAAUUAAAACUGAAGUAUUAUCAAUCAUAUAAAGAAGCAAAGCCACUCCCCGCGUCACAAAUAUGUCUAGAAGAAAAUAACAGGAAUAUCUGUUAACACUAGCGCAGUGCAAAUGGAUGUUAGCACGUGCUGCAAGAUAAAUCAAAUAUAGUGUAAUAUCAUAUCCAUACAUAUGUAACAAAACGAAAAAGUGACCAUGAUGAUAUAAGCCAGUACUGAGAAAAAGGAUGAGUUUCAAGUACCAAAAACUUCAGAAACCAUAAGAAUGGCAAGCUUGGAAUAAGAGGAUCCAGUAACAUAGGUGUCUAGGCCACCAAGUUUUUCAACAUGGCCUACCCAGGACUCAGGACCUGACAUAUUUUUCUUCUGUAAUGUGUUCAGAACAUGGCCUAAUUUUCUCACUCUUCAGGAUGUUUGUUUGUGUCUGAAACUAAAUAUAAAAAAUAAGAUGUUAGACAAGAUUUAAGACUUGGUGCCUUUGUUGCUUGUGCAAUGUUGGAGAAAGACCAAAAGCAGUGAUUCAGGAAAAAGAAGAGGAAUAAUAAUAAUGCUAAAAUGUAAACAUGCAUCAUCUCUUACGACCAACUUAUUGGUGGGCAAGGCAAAGUUCGGUCAAACUGAUUACUCAUUUGUACUUGUGACAGAUAAAAUAAAAGAAACAACCAAGAAUUUGAUGAUAAUAUAAAACUUUGGAAGAAUGAGAGUAAAAGAUUACAAUUGCAAUAUUAUUCAAUGAAGGGAAAAUUAUUUUAAUUGAAAUUGGGAAAGAAAAAAAAUGCAACACUUAAAUUUGAACCGAGAAUGUUCUAAAGCUAGCUUUCCAGAUAGAAGAACGUUUAUAAUUAUUUAAUUGGUAGCAUUCCUAUAAUUAAAAUAUUAAACAAUGAAAAAUGUGGAUUUUGAUAAGAUAGGUUAAGAGAAGUCAACUAAUGAGAUAAAUAUCGCCACCAAAGGGUCAUAAAAAAAGGGGGCUUACUAGUUUAAGUAGAAAAUCAUUUGUCCUGCUAUUGUUUAUUAGCUAUUAGCUAUUUAGGAAGUAUGUAUGUUUUUGGUCUAACCACAAGUAUCAUCUUUAAGACAAUCAUGUUCGAUCCGGGUGUGGUAAUUGUUAGAAGUCUCCCAAGAGUGCGUUACCUAAGGAUCGAAUUAUCGACCUCAGGGGUUCAAACAACCACUUUUAACCAUUGCGACCGACACUCAUUGGGUGAAGCAAGUAUCUUUUAAUUUUUAGAGAAAAUUAUUAAUAAUUAAUAAUCAAGAAUAUUUUAUCAGAAGUCAGUCUAAGAAAAUACCUGGGUAUAAGCAACCAUCAAAGGUUGGGGAUUCUAACAUAAAAGUCUUGAAAUAUAAUUCCAUAGCACAACUUAAAUCACAACUCCAACAAACUUAUAAACGAAUGCAAUAGCACAACUUAAAUCACAAGUCCAACAAACUUAUAAUCGAAUGCAAUAUUACUACAAUGAGUCUACCAAUACGAUCCAUGUCCAUUGUCCAAGACACAACAAUACAGCAUUUAAUGACCAAAAAAAAAAAACAAUACAGCAUUUAUUUUACACCCACUCAAGCAUUUAUUUUCUUAUAAACUGUAAGCUACAUUUGUGGAAAUAUAGGCAUAGCCAUUUUAGAUCCUCCACAACCAACAUGUGCAAACCAAUCCAGCUAAAUUUCUCACUUGAGAUGUUUAGCAAACCAGUCCAGCAAGUCCUGAUGGGCCUCCUCUGCUUCCUUCACAGCUUCUGUAUCUUCCAGGUUGUAUCUCACACUCCAACCGUGUGAAACUUUAGGAAAUAUUUUCACAAAACUAGCAACCUGCACAAAAACAAAAAUUGGUUCAUGAGUGAUGGGCGGUAUCUUACAUACAUGAGGUAUUCUUGCAUAUGUGCAAAUUCAUAGCACGUUUGGAUUAACUUCUAUAUCCUCAUAAUCAAUUUUGGAACCCAUAAGCUACUCACAGGAAGCUUCUUCCCAUAAUUAAUUUUGGUUUUAGAAUCAAUCAAUUGUAGAAUGAUUUCCAAAAUCCAAACAUGCAUCAAUGUCUGAUAAAAAACAAUUUCUUGUCUAGAUGAGCAAUUAUAUAUUGCAUGAGGAUCCCGGUUUAAAAAUGUCAAUUUAGUUGCCCAUUUGCACAGUUGUGAUGUAUAUCUUGUACACCAUGUGUCAACACAAUUAUUUUCAAGACACAAAUAGUAGCAAAAGAAAAAGUGAAAAAGCUAACCAAACUGAAUUGACUGAUUACAGCAUCUUGUAACAGAUGAUGUGUGUAGAGAACCCAAAAACAUGAACAAUAGCAAAUCAUCAAGGUAAUAUAAAAGGCUGGACACAAAAAAAUGACAAUUAUGUGACCUGAGAUUUUGCAGCUAGGACUUGCUCAAACUGUUUCACAAGCUCUGGAGGAGAAAUUGUGUCAAUCUCAGCAGCAAGUACAGAAAUUGGAAUAUCAACACCUGAACAGAAGAGCAAUAAUUAACUCUUGGAAUAUGAGCAUCUCAGUCACUGCUUUAAGAAAUCUGUUUCUUGUCUUUUUUUCAUUCAUUGAAAAAUUACAAGUUAAUAAGUUCUAAUGAAAGAAGCUACGGAUGAAAUAGAAUUUUUUCACAAUGGACUAUACCAACAUGAGUUCAACAUGAUGUUACAGAAAAAGCAAAGAAACAGGAGAAAUUGGAGGGGGGAUGCCAAUUUAAAUUACCCCUAUGUAGCACAUAAGUUAUAACCAGCCUCUACAUGCGUAAGAUUGCAUUGCAUACCAAAUCCAUAAAAACCCGCCUCUCAUUAAGUCUACAUACAAUUGAGUUCCUAAUAUUUUGCACUAAUGUAUACUUGUAUAAUAUACCAAAUACAUAAAAAUAGUGAACAUGAAUCAUGUGGUUGUCAAGUGUAUAACUAUAUAAAGCUGUCAUUCAAAAGACACUCCAUUGUUGCUGCAGGUAUUGCUCAUCUUCUGGACAAAUAUUUAAUCAUCUAACAUCUAAUCAAAUAAGCAUAUUUUUUUGUUUUGUGUUAUACUAAAACAGCUUUCAACCAGAACUUCUCUCUGCAGCAUUUUGACUAAGUUUAAAUGAAAAAGAAAUAGUUAUAUAACAGUAGAUUCCAAUAUAAUUUGUAUUUUACAAGAAGGAAAGAAAAGAAAAGAGAGGAAAAAAGUAAAGGCAAGUAGUCCCUUAGCAGUUAAUAAAUUAGUAAUGAAAAAUAUAUUUCUUCAAAUAAGUGAAUAUAAAUAUAAAGAGAGGAGGACUCCAUUUACUCCAGGAGUAAGUUAAAAACCUACUCCAAAUCUUUACCCUUAUUUUUAGAUACUGCACAUUAGCAUGGGAAGUGACAUUAUGCCAAAAAUGCUUAAAUUGAUGAAAACGACAAUUGACAAGUUUUUCUGUUUUUCCUAACAUGAAGCUCCAACAUAAUCUUAGUAGUCUUUUUCCCGCAUAAGAUGCUAAAAGACAUUUCCUAAACAAAUCGCAAAUUAAGGAAAUAUAUCUUAACAUUGAAAAUUUAUACCCUUGAUAUCAUCCAAAGAGACAAACGAUGGAUGCAAUAGCACAGCAGCUUGGAUCAGUCUGGAUUUCGCAAGUUCAACCACAACCUUAGCUGAUAAAAAGAAGGAAUAUAUAAUACAUUGUGUUAGUUCAAUUAUUAAUAUCAUGUUUAAAACUUUAAAUCCAACCAAUAAGUACAACACCUGCAAGGAGCUGAAACUGUUACACAAGCUAAAGAAGGGGAAAUGCAAACAAAAUAAGCAGAUGAGAGGCACUCACCACCCCAGCAAAAACCAACAGCCCCAAUAGCUGAAACACCUUUACUCUUUAAAGCUUCAAUUAUCGGCUUUGUAUCUUCAAAACCUUUGUCCUGUUAAUAUAGCGGGUAAGCAUCAGAGAGCGUCACAAUUUUGUAAAUUUGAUUUGACAUUUAACCCUUCCUAAUGCUCAAUCUACAAAUAAAACCACAUACAAAGGUAGCAGGCUAAUGGCUGAGCUGUUGAAAUGAUAAUUAGUUAAUUACAUCACAUAACUAGAAAUCGCAUUCCAGCCAUACAUCCCCCACUCAGAAUGUUCAAAGUUCCAAUAAGGCAACAAAAAACUGAAUUUCAAUUUUUAAUACCACCAAAAAAUUGUUUCUUUAAUUUAUACAAGAAGAGAAAAAUCAUGAACAAGCAAGUAUUAUAAAUAAGAACUAACCGGUCCAUGAUCUUUUAUCCAAGCGGGAAAGGGCCUGUCAGGGUUCCCAAGGUCCAAGGGCUCACCCUUCAAGAGAUCAGGAACAACCACAUAAUAGCCAGCAGCUGCAACUUUGUCCGCAAGGUUCCUUCAAUACAGAGAACAAAGUCAACAAAAAACAUUACAUACAAGAGAGGUGGAGACAGAGAAGUUUGUAAACAGAGCAGAAUGAAACAGUCAAAUUGUAUUAACAGCAUAGUUCAUCAAAACCUUGGAAAAUUUUAAUUUGUAAGUGAAAACUGCAAGUAACAUGAGCAACCAUUAUAAAUUCUCAUUGAUAUAUAUAUAUAUAUAUACAUGAGAUCAAAGAAAACAUGAACAAGUGAAAAGUGGAAAUAAGUCAAAUAACUGUAUUUGUAGGCAUACCUUAAAUUUGGUGCUUCAUAUCCUGCAAGGAAAAUUGAGCAUAUGAAAUUAGACGAAGGUUUUGGUAAAAGUCAACAACUGUUACUAGAUUAUCUAUAUAUAUAGCACAGGCUCCUGAAAAGAAUGAAAUGCAGAAUUUGAUACCGAAAACAUCGGAGAGGAGAAGAACGGCGAGGUUGGAGUGAGAGGAGCCGGAGAAAUAGGCGUUGACGCCGGCGAUCUUGUCAACGUGGCCAGCUCCGCCGGUGGGGUUGAGGGUUGGUGGAUUUGAGCAGCACUCAGGGCCUGACAUGAUGAUUGCUGAUACUGCUUGCUUCACACUGAGUUCUGAGUGUUGUGAGUCUGUGUUUGACUAGUCUUUGGUUUCGGGUGCUUCGUUAUAUGUAGAAGGAUCAUGAAUAUGAAAUUUUUUGGUAUCUAUAAUUUGGGGAAUUGGGUUUGGCCCCCCUAUGGGGCUCCGCGUCCCACUUAAAGUGGGGAAAUUACUGGAAUGCCCCCUUUAAUAGAAUACGGAACUUUACCGUCCGUAUUUAAUACGGAAGACACAUUUCAGUAUUAUAUUAGUAUGUAAAACGACAGGGGUUUUUUCAAACCCAUUUCAGCGCUUUCAACACCCAUUUCUCCCCCAUUCUCCCCUCGUUCUUCAAUCUUCGAUCUCUGACGCUCCCCUUGCUUGAAUCAUCAUCUGGAAAGGUUCCAUCAUCUCCAUCAAAGCUAUUCAUCAAACCCAUUCUCCCCAUUCAUUGCAUUGAAACCUAGAGGUAAGUAAGUUUGGAUUUUCACCAUUUAACUUGAAAUUAUGUGAAUCUUUCAACCCUAGGGUAGUCGAUUGAUGCUUACGUAGAGGUUAUGUUGGCUGAAAUGGCUUGAAUGUGCUUUGGGGCGAGUUCCGAUNNNNNNNNNNNNNNNNNNNNNNNNNNNNNNNNNNNNNNNNNNNNNNNNNNNNNNNNNNNNNNNNNNNNNNNNNNNNNNNNNNNNNNNNNNNNNNNNNNNNNNNNNNNNNNNNNNNNNNNNNNNNNNNNNNNNNNNNNNNNNNNNNNNNNNNNNNNNNNNNNNNNNNNNNNNNNNNNNNNNNNNNNNNNNNNNNNNNNNNNNNNNNNNNNNNNNNNNNNNNNNNNNNNNNNNNNNNNNNNNNNNNNNNNNNNNNNNNNNNNNNNNNNNNNNNNNNNNNNNNNNNNNNNNNNNNNNNNNNNNNNNNNNNNNNNNNNNNNNNNNNNNNNNNNNNNNNNNNNNNNNNNNNNNNNNNNNNNNNNNNNNNNNNNNNNNNNNNNNNNNNNNNNNNNNNNNNNNNNNNNNNNNNNNNNNNNNNNNNNNNNNNNNNNNNNNNNNNNNNNNNNNNNNNNNNNNNNNNNNNNNNNNNNNNNNNNNNNNNNNNNNNNNNNNNNNNNNNNNNNNNNNNNNNNNNNNNNNNNNNNNNNNNNNNNNNNNNNNNNNNNNNNNNNNNNNNNNNNNNNNNNNNNNNNNNNNNNNNNNNNNNNNNNNNNNNNNNNNNNNNNNNNNNNNNNNNNNNNNNNNNNNNNNNNNNNNNNNNNNNNNNNNNNNNNNNNNNNNNNNNNNNNNNNNNNNNNNNNNNNNNNNNNNNNNNNNNNNNNNNNNNNNNNNNNNNNNNNNNNNNNNNNNNNNNNNNNNNNNNNNNNNNNNNNNNNNNNNNNNNNNNNNNNNNNNNNNNNNNNNNNNNNNNNNNNNNNNNNNNNNNNNNNNNNNNNNNNNNNNNNNNNNNNNNNNNNNNNNNNNNNNNNNNNNNNNNNNNNNNNNNNNNNNNNNNNNNNNNNNNNNNNNNNNNNNNNNNNNNNNNNNNNNNNNNNNNNNNNNNNNNNNNNNNNNNNNNNNNNNNNNNNNNNNNNNNNNNNNNNNNNNNNNNNNNNNNNNNNNNNNNNNNNNNNNNNNNNNNNNNAAGUGUAAUCUCGGUUUUCUGUCCUUCCUGGGAAGCGCUUAUAAACUGGUUGGCUUGGGUGGGUUGAAUUGAACCGGCUGAACUCGUGGCUCCUCCGUACCAUAUGGACCCCAAGAGAUCAUAGCGCCUAGAAGCAAAUGUGAGACCAAUCUUGGAUCUUCACGGGAUACUGAGAGUCCACUUAGAACACCCAGAAUACUCUGCUUCAGAUUUUUCAAAGGAGCCACAGGUGAAGGUUUGGACCAAACAGCUUCUGUGUCAUCAUCGGGAACAAGCUUAGGAGUGCUUAGUAAAAAGAACGGUAAAUCUCUGGAGUCACCAUAUUGAAUUAUAUUUGUAAGCCACUCGUUUAUCUGUGAAACAUCAUCAACUGCACCCUUGUACCCAGCUACAAACUGCCCUGCCUGAUCAGAAUCAUCAAUUAGAUCUUGAACCAGUGAAAUUUUAGUUUUCCACUUUGCCAUUUCCUGUUUCCUGUUAUCAAGAGCACUGCUAUUUCUCAUGUACCGAACAACAAAUAAGCGAGGAGUAUCUGUCAUAUCCCUCCGUUGUCCACAAGUAUGCUCGCUCCCGGUAGAACCAAGGUAAAAUCGACAAUAGUCCUUUUCCUUUUCACCAUCAAGCCAGGCAAAUGUCAACCUCUUUCUCUUCAAUGCAUCCACAGCUGGAGCUAAAGAUUGAUUUACAGACAAUUUUUCUUGAACCCUGCACAUGGUUUCGCGCAACUUGUUCAAUUCCAAACUUGGCCUUCCUACCGCAACAGCACAGUACCAAAUAGUUGUAUCAAAUCCCGCGCGAGAGUAGCCGCGAGGAUCGCAGCCUAGCUCCAUAGAUGUCGCGCUCCGCAGUUGUGGAAGCUCUUGCUUUUUGUUAUCCUCCAUCAUAUUCAGAAAAAGUGUAUCAUUAACUGAACCAUGGUGCACAACAGGUUUCACACCAGGGUCUUUAAGAAAGACUAAAGCAGGUGCAGAUUGCACCCCAAAAGCUCCCAACCAGUAUGAAGAAUCCUCUUCCCGCCAAAGAAUGUUUGCAAAGGAAGCAUAACCCCAAUAGUCUUUCACUGCUUGUCGAAUAAACGGAGCAGCACGGUCCCCAGUUUCCGAAAAAAAUAUGACUUUCACCUUAUGAUGGCUGGAUUUUCCAAGAAAAUUUGGCACAAGUGUCCCCAUGGAGUAGUAGUUGAUUUGGGGUAAAGCCAAUAUAGUUGUAGCAAACCAAUCUGUGACCGUGUCAACAGUAAGCUCACCAUCAAACCUACUGAAACAUUUUGCAGAAACACAUCCUGGAGGAAUAGCAACAAUCAAUGGAACACCCUUUCUGAAAAGAGGCUUUCCUGUUGAACUUCUAUCAGCAAGAAAAACUGCUAAAUCAUUCUCAUUCUCAAUCUCACCAAGUUCCAUUACACCAGAAUUUGCAACACCAUCCAACAAGGAAGCAAUUUGAUUCCAUGGCUUGGAAAACUCAACACAACGAUUGCUCCCGGAUGAAUACAAUUGAAUGAUCCAUGGCUUUGAAUCUGGAAACAUGGACCCAAAAUCACUUGCAGAAAUCUCUUUUGAAGAAGAAUGAUCAACAGACCCAGAAGGGGAAUGCAGCAAAGGAAAGUCCAAAUUCAAUUGUGAAAUGUUUUUCAGCUUGAUAGCACUCUCAAGAACAUGGAAUUGUUCAUCAAUGCCGAAUCUAUCGUAGUCUCUUUUCCACAAACGGUUUGUGAGCAAUUCGUAAGCGUAUCUGAUCUUCAUGAACUCGCGAAUUUCAGAAGCUUCUGCAUCCGAAUUCUUCAUAGACCAUUUGGAUUCAAGGUUGUUAUAUGCCUCCUGCACCGUUUCGAUUGAACUGUACCUCUCGAUUUGCAGAACGUCGUAGUGGGAAGGUGAGGCGUUGGGAAUGAGAACGAGUUGGAAGAGCAUGGCGCCGGCGAGGAGAAUUAGAGGAAUCGCGUACGCUCUGACGGUGGAAACCACCGAAGUUGACGGAGGUGGAAUUGUCGGAGACCCAGACAUGGUGGCGGAAGUGGUGGUGGCGGUGAUUGGAAUCGCGGGAAUUUCGUAAACUCCGUGGACGGGAUUGACAACGUUGUGAGUGAGUAUCGUGUUAUGCAAACCUCGUUGGGAUGUUUCCAAAAAUAAAUCUCAUCUGCAUUUUAUUUUUUAUAUGGAAAUAUGUGAUUGACUUUUUAUUUUUAUUUUGUUAUUACCAUUAUUUAUACUUUUUAUUUUCAUAAAAUAAUGAAACAAAACUCAUAAAGUAAUAAAGUAAUUUGGAUGAGAGAUAAAUAAUUAAUAUUUUAAACUAAGAACUAGGGGUGUACAAGACCCGGCCUUAACCGCCAACCCGUCCCGGCCCAAGCAUUUAGGGUCGGGUUGAACCCGACCCGAUCAUUAAAAGAGACUGGGUUCGGGUUGAUCUUCGAGUUACCCGACUUCGGGUAGGGUCGGGUUCGAGUUGACGCUCGGGUCACCUGGCCUAUCUCACAUAUAUAUUUUAUAAAAUUUUAAUUUGUUAUAAUGAUUCAAAUGUGAUACAUGGUGCUCAAAUUUAUCUUACCAUCUAAAUGAGAUUAAAAUGUUUAACAUAUACCUUAUGAAUUAAAUAAACGUUGGUCAAACUAUGGACACUUUCAUGCUCUAACAAGAGAAAACCAUGUGUGUGUAUUAUGCAUAUGUGAGACAAGUGAAUAAAUGAUUAAACAAAAUGUAAACAUCUCAAGUGCAAUAGAUUAUGAAAGAAUUGAAUCCUUUCAAGUUAUUUCUUCUAAAAAAUAGUUCCAACUUAUAACUCUUUUAGUAUGUUAUUAUCUUUAAAUUUUAAAAUUAGUAUCAAAUAGUCUUAAAUUUAUUGUCCCUCGGGUCAACCCGGUCUCGUCCUACAUAGACCCGUCCUAAAUUGGACCCGCAUAAUGUCGGGUUGUUUCGGGUCUAGGGACGGGUUAGGGUCUAUCAAUUGACCCGAUCAACAUUUAGGACCGGGUUAGGGUUAACCAAAACUCGUCCCAACCUGUCCCUUGUACACCCCUACUAAGAACUCAAAAAGCAAAACUCUUUAUUUAAGAAUUGAGUUCUUAAUUUUAAGAACUAAAAAGUCCAUGUCAGCACCUUCAAUGGUAAAGUUCUUAGUUCUUAACUCCAAAAUAAAAACUAAGAACCUUGCAUUAGAGAUGCUCUUAAAGUUUUUUUUUUUUUAAAAUGGAGUUUAUCUUCCCUUAAAAAAGAAAAAAAAAAUAGAGUUUAUCAUAGUCAGAGAUAUGUGUUUCAAAAAAAAAAAAUAGUCAGAGAUAUGAUUGAUUCUUCAAUUCUGAAAAUUUGAAAUACAGAUAAAAUAAAUUUUUUGACAGAGAAAUACAGAUAAACUUAAUCAAUCGUUUUUAUUUAUUUUAAAUUUUGAAUUAAUUUGAUCUUUUUGAAAGAAUGAAGCCACAUGGUAAUUGGGCACUGGAUUAAUAAUCUACAAAAAUAUUUAGAGGAUCGGAUUAAGAGAUAAAAUAGUAAGUUUUUUUUUUGUCAAAUUAUAAUAGCAAAUCCAAAAAAAUAUUUGGGAGAAGCGGAUUAAGAAUUAGUAAAAUGUUAUGUUAUAUAUAGAUCCAUGAAAGAAAAUUAAAAUAUUGAAGGGUUAUGCCCCUACUAGCCAUUUAGAUACGCCCUCAAUGCGCAAAGGAAAAAGACUCACCGCCCCUAACAAGUGAGAUGUUUGGCUUACCUUUUGCGGAUGAGCUUAAAAGCUUGCAACACUCGUGUAAUAAUGGAACAUAAACAUGGUCUCAUUUCAUAGAUGGAUUUCACAAAUGAUGCAAAAUAAACAGAAAUAAGGUUGUAACAUAAAGCCUUCAAGCAUGAAGUCUUAAGAUCUCAAAUCCUAAACAUCAAAUUUUAUUGUAACAUAAGAAAGCUAAGUGGAAUGGGUAUCAUUUUUAUUUCCUAGCCUCCACUUCAGGACACGAUGAUGCAAUUCCAAUCAACAUAGAAUCUCUAAUUGCAUCCAACAAUUAAGUUUUCUCACUCAAGGUGUUUAUUAAACCAGUCCAACAAUAUUUGAUGGGCCUUCUUUGCAGCUUUCACAGCUUCUGGAUCUUCAGCAUCGUACCUCAAAGUAAACCCAUGUGAGACGUUAGGAAAUAUUUUUACAUAACUAUCAACCUGCACAAAACAAAAAUAGCUACAUCAGUGAUAUCUUAAAUACAUGAGAUAUUCAUCGUCAAGAGUUCUUAUAUGCAUACAUACACUUUUUUUUCAGGGACACACGCAUUAGUGCGGUUUUUAACUGUUUAACUGUCCAACGACGGUUAAAAAAAGAAUGUGUGUGUCGAUUGUGCGUAAUACAUAAUAACAUUUUUGGUCGUCAAUAUGUGCGCAUUCAAUGAUUGAAAUGAACAAUAUGACAUCUUGUAGCAUAUAUAACCAGAAAAAGAAAUGAAGGUUCAUCCAACCCAAGGUUUAUCAGCCAGGACUUCUUUAAAUUGUUUUAUAAGCUCUUCAGGAGUAACUGUGUCAAGCUCAGCUCCAAGUAUAGCAAUAGGAAUAUUAACACCUGAAAGUGAUACCAACACUUAACUAUUAGAAUAUGAACAUCUCAGCCUCUUAUAUCCAAGCAUAUAUACUUAAAUUGAUGGCAUCACAAUUGAAAAGAAGCUGCAACAUGUUAUAGUAAUUUUUUCUGCUUAUAAAGUGCUCUGGCACCCCCUGAACAAAGAAUUUGCAAGUUAAGAAAUAAUCUAAACACUGAAAAUUCAUACCAUCUAUGUCAUCCACAGUGAUAGAUGAUGGAUGUGCAGUCACAACAGCUUGGAUAAGUUUGUAUUUCGCAAGUUCACACACGGUCUUAGCUGAGACAAACAAGAACACAUGGUAAAUUCUUUUGAGUUUAUGAUGAACUUAGUUGUGUUUAAACCUAUGCAACCAAUAUACACCUAAGACGAGCCAAAACAACUACAUACACAAAGGAGGGGAACUGCCAUGAAGAAUUAUCCCAAAAAACUUAAGCAGUUGAGUAAAUGACACAUGAAUGGUUUUAUUUUAUAUUUCUAAGCGGAAAUACACCAAAUAAGUGAAAGGCGUGCACUCACCUCCCCAACAAAAACCAGCAGCACCAAUAAGAGAAGCACCUUUACAUUUUAAGGCUUCAAUGACAGGUUUUACAGCGUCAAAACCUGUGUCCUAUGAGAAAAUGAUGUAUUGCAAUCUACAAAAGGUCAUGAGUUUGUACAUCUAAUUAAAACAAACCAUAAAUAAAGCUGGCAAACCAGCAGCAAAAAUGAUAAUAACAUUACACGGGAAAACAUUGGAAUCAUAACCCAAAAUCAAGAGUACUUAUCAAAGUACCAAUAAGGAUACCAAACAUUAGAUUUCAAUAUAUACACAGGACUUUCUGUUUCUCUUAUAAAAAUUAUCAUUAACAGCCAAGUACCAUUAAAAAGAGAACUAACCGGUUCAUGAUCUUUCACCCAAACAGGUAAAGGCCUGUUAACAUCUUCGGAAUCAAAGGGAUCGCCAUAGAAGAAGUCAGGAACCACCACAAAAUACCUAGCUGCUGCAACCUUGUCUGCAAGCUUCCUUUACAACAAACUAUAUGACUUAAUAGGGGAAAAGUUACAGUUAGCAUCAUAAAAAGAGAGAGUAGACAAAGAGAGCAGAUGAGUUGGAUGAAAUUAACAGCCAAAUCUGUUGGAGUAUUGUUUACCACAAUUGAUUAUGAAACCAAAAUCAAUUAUGGGGAGAAGCUUUUGCGAGUAGUUUCGGAGUUUCAGAAUUGAUUUGGAUGAAAGUGAAACUUUAUCAAAUAUAAACAUAUAUCUAGCAAUGAUCUAACAAGAUAUCGAUAGGCACAUUAAUCUGAAUUUGUGCUGAAUUAAGCCAAAACAACUUGCUCGAACAAAUAACCAUGCAGAUGAUCAAAAUUUUGUAAGUUAUACUUAUACAGAAAGCAAACAUGAGAAAGAGCCAUACCUUAAGACUGGCGCUUCAUAUCCUACAAGACAAAUUAAAUCAAGCAUGUAAAGUUAAACGAAGAUGACUAAUGUCUAAAUUUUUUACACUGUAAGUGCAUAGUAAUUAAACUUAAUUAAGAAUACCAAAAAUAUCAGAAACAAAGAGAAUAGCUCUGUUGGAGUGAGGGGAGCCAGUGAGGUAAGAAUCAAGGCCACCAAAUUUCUGAACAUGGCCUUCUCCACUACAAGGGUCCAGUUUUGGUGGAUUUGAGCAACAUGCUAAGCCUAAGCCUAACCUUGACAUUUCCUCUUUUCUCUUACUUUUACUCUUUUGCUUGCUUUGCUUCCCUCCACCAAUCUCACUCAAUUCAGCUUUUCCAUUUAUAAAGUUCAUUUAAGACUUUGAAUAUUUCAACCUUGUACUUUUCUAUUCAGUUUUUCUUAAUCUCGCUAUCUGUCUGUUGUUUAGUAUUCUUAAAUUUGUUCAGAGGUUUGUGACGUGUUAACUUUUGGUGAGUUCAAUUCCAGGUCGUGACUUUUUUCACCACCAAUCAGAGGUUUUAUUUAUUUAUUCUUGUAUGGAGUUUAUUCACUUCAUCUCUAUACUUUCAUCUGUGUAGAUUAUUUUCUCACAAUUGCAGGUUAAUUUUUUUUGAAAAAAUGUACAGAUUUUAUAAAGUGAAGGAAAUACAAUUUUCUCUUUUAAUUUAACAUACAAUUUUCUCUUUCCUUCCCUGUCAUGACAGAUAUGAGAUAGCAUUGUAGAAAAUUACAUUAUUUAUGACUUAUGAGUAAUAUUCAAAUAUUAUUUACUGGCGGCAAACAUAAAUCAUGUUUACUUUUCAAUGAAAAGUUUAGGCCUUCGUUUUUUCAUUAUGUUAUAUGAUUAUUAUUCAUUUUAAGAUUAAGACUGCUCAAUUAUUUCCUUACUAAACUUGACAAUUUUGUUUUUGCUUGCAGUUAGAAGAAGAAGAAUAUAAUUGUUAAACAAGGGUGUACGAGAUUAAGUAAAACAUAUGAUUAUAAUUGUUAAUCAAAUUAUUGAAAUUGAAAUUUCAACAACUUUAUAGUUUAUUAUAUAAAUAUAUGGCACAAUUUUAACAACAAAUUAUUUUGAGCUUGAACCGGAGACGGUAUAUAAACUUGCACAAUUUAUUUUAAAACUCAACUUUUUAUUAGAACAAAUUAUGCAACAAGAACUUAAUUUACAAACGGGCCCUUAGUUAUCUUUUUAUACACCAGAAUCAUUCAAAGACCACAAUUCCAGAAUUUAUACAUAGACCUUAGCAUUAGGCACUUGGACAAACUCACCCUUGGCGGGGAAUAACUAGAGUUUAAAAACAAAGCUUCUUCAAUCCAAUCCAUUCAAACAAAGUGAAUGAUAACAGAACUUUGAAGAUUAUUUUACAUACGAGGCGAAGCUGAAGAUGUAUUUACCACAGUCCUCGAAAAUAUGACCCAGAAAUUGGAAAAGCAAAGUUAUGAACAAUCUCAGACAAACAAGCUCUUAUUAGAAAAGAGGCAAUAGAAGUUCUUCUUCACAUUCAUAGAACAAGAUUGAUUUCUCACUUGAGAUGUUUAGCAAACCAGUCCAGCAUGUCCUGAUGGGCUUCCUCAGCAGCCUUCACAGCUUCUGCAUCUUCGAUGUUGUAUCUCACACUCCAACCGUGUGAGACUUUAGGAAAUAUUUUAACAUAACUAUCAACCUGCUAAAAAUAAAAAUAACAAUUCAGAAGCCAUAUUAAUCAUUCUCAAUAAGAAACAGUUAUGGGUCCAGCUUUAAGGUCUGAGUUAUGACGUAGACAAGAGGAUGGUGACGAUGAAUGUUUUUCAGUAGCCAAAAACAAGACACAAAGCACAAUGUGCUUGGUAAAAAUGAAAUUUAAACAGAGCUUAGCUACAGAUAGAUUUCUCAAAUUCAACUUGUCUGAACCCAUCAGAACCAAAAAAUGGAAACUGAUAAUGAAAGAACACGUCAUCUUUGAAUUAAAAAUAAAAUCACAUAGUAACCAGAAAAUAUUAUCAUCAUCAGAACAUAAAGGUAAUCUAAAAUGAUGGUAGAUAACCAGCAAAAAGAGAAAAAAAUAUCUGACCCCAGGUUUAGCAGUUAAGACUUGUUCAAACUGUUUCAGAAGCUCUGGAGGAGACAUUUUGUCAAUCUCAGCUCCAAGUAUAGCAAUUGGAAUAUCAACACCUAAAAGUUAGACCAAUAAUUGACUGUUAGAAUAUGAACAUCUUAGUCAAUAGUCACUGCUUAAGAAAUAUGCUUAAAAAUGAGAACGGAAUGAAUUGGUAUGGAACAAACUCCAAUAAAAUAGAACUUAUGCACAAUCAAUUAAAUCAACAGAAGUUAAGUACACUGUUGUAAUAAAAGACAACAGGCAAGGAGAUUUUUUCAACACAAAAAUAAAAUAUAGAUACCCCUGUGUAGCAAAUUAUUGACCUUCAGAAAAAUAGAUUGCAAGCACAGUCCAUAAAAAACACUAUUAUGGUUUGCUCAUCUUUCAAACAAACGUACUUCUAGGACUCAGAAACCUUCAACAUCAUUUAUAAAGUGAAGUGCUCAAUAUUUAGGCUCAGCAUAAGAUGUUUACGGUUUACCAAAUCUAUUUCUCUUUUAUUCAAUCAAAUGUUCAAAAUGUAAUGAUUAUGAUACAGACAUACCAGAAGUAUGUAGAAACAGUAAAAUACACUGCAAGUCAGCAUAAAGACAAAUAUGAUUAUUUAGGAAGUGACUGAGGACUGUAGUUAUAUUCCGAACAUGCCUAAUUGCCUAUUUCAAUGGUAUGACAAGAAGCUGCAACAUAAUUUUGGUAGUCAUCCUUAGAAGAUACAGUGAAGUUUUCAAUAACUAAAAUAUGCAGACAGAAGAAAUUUAAAUAUUGAGAAUUCAUACCAUUGAUGUCAUCCAGAGAGACAAAUGAUGGGUGUAAUUGCACAGCAGCUUGGAUUAGUCUGGAUUUCGCAAGUUCAACCACAACCUUAGCUGAAGGAAAGAAGAGAAAGACUACACUCUGUGAGUUUGAUUGCUUAGUUGUGUUCAUAAUUUCAAACCAUACCAGAAACUACACCUAAGUGAAGCUGAAAGUGCUAUAUAGUAUAUCAAUAUGCAAACAAGAGGAGGGGAAAAUAUAAGCACUCCGAAUGAGUGGAAUGAGAGGUACUUACCUCCCCAACAAAAUCCAGCAGCCCCAAUAGCCGACACACCUUUACUUUUUAAAGCUUCAACUAUGGGUUUGGCAACUUCAAAUCCUUUGUCCUAUUAUUGAUAUGAAAGAAUCAGGGAAUUAUGAAUUACAAAUUACAACACACAAAAAAACCAUUUUUCACUAGAUGAGAAUGACAAUAAAAGUUUACAAAUCAAUGUACAAUUUCUAUACAUUUUAUGCGAGAUAAUCCAUAGUAUUUGAUCCACUCAUCCAAACAUAUAUACUGAUAUACAGGUGGCCCACUAACAUUCAAACAGCUUGUAAUUGUAAAAACCAAUUAUUAUAAAUAAGAACUUACCGUUCCAUGAUCUUUUAACCAAACAGGUAAAGGCCUGUUAGCAUUCUCAGGAUUAUAUGGGUCACCAUAGAAGAAGUCAGGAACAACCACAUAAUAUCCAGCAGCUGCAACCUUGUCUGCAAGGUUCCUUAACAACAGAGGACAAACAGUAUCACUGCCCAGAGAUACACUACAUUUGGCACCAUAGAGAGAGAGAGAGAUGGAGAAAGAGAGAAUUGGAAAAGAGAGUUAAACAGCCAGAUUCCAUUAGUGGAAUAAUUCACCAGAACUUGAUAAAAUUUGAGAGUAAAAGGUAGACUUCCCAAGAAAGAAGAUGAUUAUAUCAUAAUUCAUAAUUUACAGUUAACAUGUUGAUAUAGAUAUAUAUUUGAUUAAUUCCCUACGAAAAUUGAAAUCUAUCAUUCACUGUUACCUAAAGAUUAUGAGCCAUUACUUUAAAAUGGAAAAGUAGGAUUUUUUUGCUAAUUGUGACGCCGCUAUUGCCACUAUAGCGCGCUAUUCGCCUCCAAAUAGCGGCUGAAAUAGUGGAUUUUUUACUCACCAUGAUGGUCCGCGAUUAAUUGGAAAUUGGACAGUAUGAAACCAAGAUAACUUGCUCUAACAUAUAAAGUAAAAAAAUUAGCUAACUUAGAAAUAGACAAUAGGCAUGAGACUUGAGUAUAAGAUCAUACCUUAAAUUCGGCGCUUCAUAUCCUACAAAACAAAUCAAGCAUGUGAAGUUAAAAGAUGAUAUUAUUGGCUACAGGCGAUAAUAACCUUUAAAAAAAUAUAUUGAUACAGCCAACAACAACAAGCAAGCCUUUUCCCACUAGAUGGAGUUGGAAAUGAAACCAGAGUCUCUUCAUAGAAUGCAAAAGUGAAGAUGGGGUGUUUGAAAGAUACCAUAAAUGUCAGAGACAAGUAGAAUGGCAAGCUUAGAGUGAGGGGAGCCAGUGAGAUAGGAAUCAAGACCAGCAAAUUUCUCAACAUGGCCUGCACCUGCAGUGGGGUUAAUGGUUGGUGGGUUUGAGCAACAUUGUGGCCCUGACAUUGCUCUUCUCUUCUCUGCAAUUCACUUCACAGCUCUGCUCUUGGGGAUCAAAUUUUGGAACAGAGAGAGAGAGAGAGAUGACGUGAAGAAAUGGGAGAUUCCACUUUGCUAUUGCUAUGCACUCAUAUCAUUGUGGUCCAUAUAUGGACAACUGCAGGAUGUGGCAACCAUACAAAUUUGAUUUAGGCUUUUUUAUUAAAUUUUACAGUACCAUUGUUUUUUUUUUUUUUGAUAAGCUUACAGUACCAUUGUAAAUAAAUCAAACAAAUAUUGUUUUUUUAAUCAACAAACAAAAAUAAUAGCUUCGUGGCAAGGGACAUCACUACCCUAUUCCGAACCAGAUUAGUCACGUGAGUUCUUUUUUUUUUCCGUAGAGACUGAUGACCAAAAGAUAAAAAAAAAGACUUUAAUUAUUGUGCACCGUUAAUAUUUAAUUCUACAUUUUUAUGGAGACGUCCAAUAACUGAAUGACACAUAUUUUCAUAAUUGAAUGUUUAUGUUAAAAAUGUUAAGAUAACCAUUAUUUUUUUUAAUCUAAAAACCCUCUAUAUCUAGAAGAAUAGAACUUAUAUACAUUCCCACACCACUUAAAUCAAAAGGGGUUGAAGAAAAUCUCACAAAUUUAUGAGAAGUUUUUUUUUUUUUGAAAUGAGAAGUUGAUUUUUUUGGUUACAGGAGGAAAAACUAUCAUAAACAAAAGACGAGCUAAACAAUCAGCAGUAUUGUUCUUCUCCCGCUGGAAAUGCAAGACACUGACGCUCUGAAACCUGGCAUCAUGCUCCUUGAUUUUACUAAAUGUAAAUUUAUUCCUUGUAAAAAAAAACUAAAUUAAAUUAUGUAUCUUUAUCCCAUCAUGUUCAAGGGUAAAAAUUCUAUCAUGUUCACCAAAAGUUGGGCCUUUUUUACCGUCUUUUUUAACCCUUUUUAUCUUACAAAAACUAAAAUAUGAGAUUAAUGCUGAAAAUAUCUAUAGACUAACCAAAUUAACAGAUUAAAUCAAUUAUGACACACACAUACUACACAUUGCUAAUUGUGAUCUUUUAAAAAAAAAUCCCUAAUUGUGUCUCACACACGUAGAGAGAAAGUUAUAAGUUUCUCUGCUGUGAACUCUUAACUCACCAUAGCAAAAAGUUAGGCCCGUUAGAGUUUAACUUGCCUAGCAAGUUACAAGCGCAAACGUGAACCUGUGAGUGAGUCUCAGUGCAUGUUGGUUUGAGGUUAGAACCCAGGCAAAUUUGAUUGGUUUCACUUAGUGUAAGACACCAAUGGAAUGGAGAAGCUAGAAUUUGGCGCGCUAUUUUGACAAGUCAGUGAUAUGUAAAUUUGAAAUUUUAUCUAAUAUGGGUUAAUGCUGCUGCGCAACGCAGAGUUCAGCACCUCGAUCUCAACCUUUAUAGUAAUUCACCGAUCAACUUGUCGUCCAUCUUCAGUUGCAGGACUCUUGUGGUUCUCAGGUUGCAGUGGUUAGAUUUGAAUCAGUUUUCCUCUGUUGUUGAUUUGCCAUUCCUUAAAGUCCUGCAUCUGCAAGAUUUGUAUUUCUCAGAACGCGAAUAUCUCGCCGAGCUUCUUGAGGAUUUGAAGGUGAGUGGAUUGAGUUUUGGUAAUUAUGUCACUGACAGAGAGUUUAAAACGUUACCCAAGUUGGUCAGAGCAGAUAUUUCAGUCAUACAUACAUGUUUUUUGCUCAUGGUGGUCAACAAUGUCGAGUUUUUGCACUUAGAUGAGGUAAUGUGAUUAAUUUAUCCAUCAUUCUUGUUCAUUCCUAUUGACAAUGAUAUAUUUGAUUUCUUGAAAUUGUAAUCAAUGAUGCAGAUUUAUUUUAGACUCUAUGAGACUCAAUGGAUGUACAGCAACACUCUAACACAUGUUGAGCUUGUCUAUAGAUACUAUAAUCCUGAUUGGUCUCAGGUAGCGGAAUUGCUCAGUCAUUGCCCCAAGCUUCAAGUUCUUGUCAUAAACCUAGUUUUGCUUAAAAGAUUAGGAUGAUUUCUAUUUGUUCAUCAUUUCUACACAUGUUUUCAUUUAUUUAUUUUGUGUUUAUUGUUGGCAGCCUUCGGAUCCUCCUAGCUCUGUCUUUGAAGAAUUGGAAAAAAUAGAAUUUUGGCAAUCUCCACCAUCGGUUCCUGAAUGCAUUCUAUUACACCUUAAAAGAUGCUAUCUAAAUGGGUAUAGAGGCACCAAAGCUGAGUUUAGGUUUGCAAAAUAUAUUAUACAGAAUUCAAGAUUUUUAAAGAAGAUGACGAUAACCAGCAACAUUGCUGAAAUUCGAAAGUUUAAGAUGUUAAAAAAACUAUCCUCAUGCUCAAGGCACUCCGCGAAUUGUAGACUUUCCAUUGAAUGAUAACAAACAAGAUUUGGUACUUGCAUUCUGCAACUUGUAGACUUUCGUUUCAUUUCUUUGUUUUAACUAGUACACAUGUAUUUGGUACAUCAUGAUUAGAUGCUAUUACUUCACUUUGUUGGCUGAGAAAUUAGAGGGAAAUACCAACAACAGUCAACUCAACAAAUAAUACAUAAUUGUGAUUUUAACUUGUAAGUUCAUAUGUUAAUUCAUCUAAUCAGUUCAAAAUAUAUAACCAAUAAGUAUGCAAAGAAAUAAUAAACAAAUGGACAGGCUGAUAAUAAGGGAACUUACCACCCCAACAAAAAGAGGCAGCCCCUAUGGCCAAAACACCUUUAUCUUUUAAAGCUUCAAUCACUGGUUUUGCAUCUUCAAAAGCUUUGUUCUAUCAGCAUAACAUUACAGUAUAAGAGCAUGAUGAAUUAUGAUUUAAAAUAAGGAACAAUUCUUUUACAUUUGAUUGGUGAAAACCACACUAAUUUUUCAUCAAAUACCUUAAAUGUCAUAAAAGGUAGAUAACUAAAAUUAACAGCAAUGUGUGGAGAGAAAUCAACUGUUAAUUACAGUGAAAAUGACACAUAAUUUAGAGAUCUAAAUCCAAACCAUAAAUGCUUAAAUGUCAGCAUUACAAAUUUCAGCUAGGAUACAAAUUUUCAGCUUACAAGUACAGAUAAACCCUGAAGUAAAAGAACUCACUGGUUCAUGAUCUUUUAACCAAACAGGUAGAAGCCUGGUAGCAUCCUCUGAGGAAAAUGGAUCUCCGUGUAAAAAAUCAGGAACCACUACAUAGUACCAUGUAGCUGCAACCUUGUCUGCAAGUUUUCUUAACAACAGAGAACAUAAAUUUCCAUUGGAAUACUUCAGAACUCACAACUAAUAUAUAAUAAGUACAAAUGGAUCAUUGUACAAAAUAGGAAUCUUUAUACAAAUGUGUACUGUUUAACACAUACUAAUCAGCAAGAUAAAUAAGUACAAAUGCAUUCUCUUUGAAGAUUUAAAACUUAAUCACCAAUAACAUGACAUUCAGGAUAGAUUGGGGCAGAAGACCAUUUUAAUUGGAAUCAGACUAGUUGAAUAACAUGACAUUCACCAAUAACAUGCAUUCUCUCAGUCAUGUCUUCCAUUGCAGCAGAUAUCACCAUUUUAAUUGGAUUCAGACUAGUUGAAUAAAAUAUUGAGCAGAAGACCAGCUUGAUGCAGAAAAGACGAUUUACAUUUGCAGAUGACCAAAUAAAAGGGGAAAAAUUGAACACGGAAAACAAACACUAAAAUUGUCCAUACCUUAGAAGUGGAGCUUCAUAUCCUACAAGGCAAUGGAACGUGUGAAGUUAAAAAUGUGAUGCCGGUUUUGAAUCAAUAACUUUAAAUUAAAACUGAAGUAUUAUCAAUCAUAUAAAGAAGCAAAGCCACUCCCCGCGUCACAAAUAUGUCUAGAAGAAAAUAACAGGAAUAUCUGUUAACACUAGCGCAGUGCAAAUGGAUGUUAGCACGUGCUGCAAGAUAAAUCAAAUAUAGUGUAAUAUCAUAUCCAUACAUAUGUAACAAAACGAAAAAGUGACCAUGAUGAUAUAAGCCAGUACUGAGAAAAAGGAUGAGUUUCAAGUACCAAAAACUUCAGAAACCAUAAGAAUGGCAAGCUUGGAAUAAGAGGAUCCAGUAACAUAGGUGUCUAGGCCACCAAGUUUUUCAACAUGGCCUACCCAGGACUCAGGACCUGACAUAUUUUUCUUCUGUAAUGUGUUCAGAACAUGGCCUAAUUUUCUCACUCUUCAGGAUGUUUGUUUGUGUCUGAAACUAAAUAUAAAAAAUAAGAUGUUAGACAAGAUUUAAGACUUGGUGCCUUUGUUGCUUGUGCAAUGUUGGAGAAAGACCAAAAGCAGUGAUUCAGGAAAAAGAAGAGGAAUAAUAAUAAUGCUAAAAUGUAAACAUGCAUCAUCUCUUACGACCAACUUAUUGGUGGGCAAGGCAAAGUUCGGUCAAACUGAUUACUCAUUUGUACUUGUGACAGAUAAAAUAAAAGAAACAACCAAGAAUUUGAUGAUAAUAUAAAACUUUGGAAGAAUGAGAGUAAAAGAUUACAAUUGCAAUAUUAUUCAAUGAAGGGAAAAUUAUUUUAAUUGAAAUUGGGAAAGAAAAAAAAUGCAACACUUAAAUUUGAACCGAGAAUGUUCUAAAGCUAGCUUUCCAGAUAGAAGAACGUUUAUAAUUAUUUAAUUGGUAGCAUUCCUAUAAUUAAAAUAUUAAACAAUGAAAAAUGUGGAUUUUGAUAAGAUAGGUUAAGAGAAGUCAACUAAUGAGAUAAAUAUCGCCACCAAAGGGUCAUAAAAAAAGGGGGCUUACUAGUUUAAGUAGAAAAUCAUUUGUCCUGCUAUUGUUUAUUAGCUAUUAGCUAUUUAGGAAGUAUGUAUGUUUUUGGUCUAACCACAAGUAUCAUCUUUAAGACAAUCAUGUUCGAUCCGGGUGUGGUAAUUGUUAGAAGUCUCCCAAGAGUGCGUUACCUAAGGAUCGAAUUAUCGACCUCAGGGGUUCAAACAACCACUUUUAACCAUUGCGACCGACACUCAUUGGGUGAAGCAAGUAUCUUUUAAUUUUUAGAGAAAAUUAUUAAUAAUUAAUAAUCAAGAAUAUUUUAUCAGAAGUCAGUCUAAGAAAAUACCUGGGUAUAAGCAACCAUCAAAGGUUGGGGAUUCUAACAUAAAAGUCUUGAAAUAUAAUUCCAUAGCACAACUUAAAUCACAACUCCAACAAACUUAUAAACGAAUGCAAUAGCACAACUUAAAUCACAAGUCCAACAAACUUAUAAUCGAAUGCAAUAUUACUACAAUGAGUCUACCAAUACGAUCCAUGUCCAUUGUCCAAGACACAACAAUACAGCAUUUAAUGACCAAAAAAAAAAAACAAUACAGCAUUUAUUUUACACCCACUCAAGCAUUUAUUUUCUUAUAAACUGUAAGCUACAUUUGUGGAAAUAUAGGCAUAGCCAUUUUAGAUCCUCCACAACCAACAUGUGCAAACCAAUCCAGCUAAAUUUCUCACUUGAGAUGUUUAGCAAACCAGUCCAGCAAGUCCUGAUGGGCCUCCUCUGCUUCCUUCACAGCUUCUGUAUCUUCCAGGUUGUAUCUCACACUCCAACCGUGUGAAACUUUAGGAAAUAUUUUCACAAAACUAGCAACCUGCACAAAAACAAAAAUUGGUUCAUGAGUGAUGGGCGGUAUCUUACAUACAUGAGGUAUUCUUGCAUAUGUGCAAAUUCAUAGCACGUUUGGAUUAACUUCUAUAUCCUCAUAAUCAAUUUUGGAACCCAUAAGCUACUCACAGGAAGCUUCUUCCCAUAAUUAAUUUUGGUUUUAGAAUCAAUCAAUUGUAGAAUGAUUUCCAAAAUCCAAACAUGCAUCAAUGUCUGAUAAAAAACAAUUUCUUGUCUAGAUGAG
rnacentral:lncRNA from 1 species